rnacentral:rRNA from 1 species
CAUGGCUCAGGAUGAACGCUGGCGGCGUGCUUAACACAUGCAAGUCGAACGAAGCAAUUUUCUACGAUCCUUUCGGGGUGACGGAUUAUUGACUGAGUGGCGGACGGGUGAGUAACGCGUGGGUAACCUACCUUGUACAGGGGGACAACAGUUGGAAACGACUGCUAAUACCGCAUAAGCGCACAGCAUCGCAUGAUGCAGUGUGAAAAGUUUUUUCGGUACAAGAUGGACCCGCGUCUGAUUAGCUAGUUGGUGAGGUAACGGCCCACCAAGGCGACGAUCAGUAGCCGACCUGAGAGGGUGACCGGCCACAUUGGGACUGAGACACGGCCCAAACUCCUACGGGAGGCAGCAGUGGGGAAUAUUGCACAAUGGGCGAAAGCCUGAUGCAGCGACGCCGCGUGAGCGAAGAAGUAUUUCGGUAUGUAAAGCUCUAUCAGCAGGGAAGAUAAUGACGGUACCUGACUAAGAAGCACCGGCUAAAUACGUGCCAGCAGCCGCGGUAAUACGUAUGGUGCAAGCGUUAUCCGGAUUUACUGGGUGUAAAGGGAGCGUAGGCGGUUUUACAAGUCUGAUGUGAAAGCCCGGGGCUCAACUCCGGUAUUGCAUUGGAAACUGUAGAACUAGAGUGUCGGAGGGGUAAGUGGAAUUCCUAGUGUAGCGGUGAAAUGCGUAGAUAUUAGGAGGAACACCAGUGGCGAAGGCGGC